rnacentral:sRNA from 1 species
UGACGUAAUAAACUGCUUAAGUAAAAGGUGCCUCUAAAGCUCCAAUUCAUAUAUAUUGUGCUACGAAAAGGAACUAUAGUAGGUGAUUCUUUUUUAUACCAGUAGAUGUGUUAUUGUUGACCAUGGUGUCCACAAACAACUGUUCAUAUUCAAUAUCAAUUUGGUGCUUUUAUACCUCACUGUAGUAUUAGUAAUGUUGUUUUGUUUUUUAAAUAAUUAGUUGUAAUUAGUUGUAAUUGAAUGUAACAUUUAAAUGUAUGUCCAUUUUUAUCUUCUUCAGUAUAUUUGAUUUAACGAACUUAUCUGCUGUUUAACACAUUUCACAGAAAGCAAUUGAAGUAAUUUAGCGUAGAAUGCAUAUAGGGUUGAAACUCAUUUAAGGUAAUAAAACUGCCGUUUCAAUCUUCAAAAAUCUCGGAAUUCAAGUCAAAGUAUCGAUUAUAUGUACAAUAUUUUACAAACUUUAUUACAUGCAUAUGUGCAACUGAUCUUUUAAUUGACAGCGAUGUUGAAUGUCAUAAAAUUGCUUGGUUCU